rnacentral:rRNA from 1 species
GGCUGUCGUCAGCUCGUGUUGUGAAAUGUUGGGUUAAGUCCCGCAACGAGCGCAACCCUUAUCCUUUGUUGCCAGCGAUUAGGUCGGGAACUCAAAGGAGACUGCCAGUGAUAAACUGGAGGAAGGUGGGGAUGACGUCAAGUCAUCAUGGCCCUUACGACCAGGGCUACACACGUGCUACAAUGGCGCAUACAAAGAGAAGCGACCUCGCGAGAGCAAGCGGACCUCAUAAAGUGCGUCGUAGUCCGGAUUGGA